rnacentral:lncRNA from 1 species
AGCUAAUGGUACAACCCUUUAGCUACGCGUUCCAAGGAGCAAUUGGGAGGAUACACCGAAAAAAAAUUAUCUUGCAUGGCAGGUCAGGCCACAUGUUGUUGAAUUUUUCAUGUUCCAGCGUGUGCGUGUGUCUGUGUCUGCUGUGCGAGGGAGUGCCGUAACUUUCACUUUGUUGUGCGGGUUCAGAGGCGCUUGCAACAAACCAUUUCCCACCUCCCACCAUAUACGCGUAUAUCCUCCCACUUUAUUUGCUCAGUUUGCCGCUGCUUAAGUUACUUUCGCUUUACGCUUGAAUUUCCAUCUUUCUUUCUUUCUUUUGGCGGGUUUUGCCUUUUGCCUUCUGCCUUCUGCCUUUCCCAGUUCGCCGUUCGCCUUUUGCCGCCUGGAUUUUCCCUACUCCAUUUACUCAUGCCUUGUAGUCCUUUCCUCCUUUUUGGCUGAGCUCAGCAGCUCAUUUUCCGUGGCUCCAUGUGUGUGCGUAGGUUCUGUGAUUUUUCCUCCUUAUUCUCCUUUGUUUCUGUCUCUCUUCCCUUUCCGAGCUCCGAGUAUUUGUGUGUAUUUUGUGCGUCUGUUAUUUUCAUAAAUAAAUUUGCAUGUCAAAUGACAUUGUUUAUGGUAUUCCAUUCCUAUAUGAAAGACAUAUAUCACUAGGGCAGAUGUCGCUCUGUAUCUCUCAGUCACUCUCUCUCUCUCUCUUCGUGCGUCUCUGCCUCACACGUUGUUGACAUCUUUGUUAAAAUAUGUUUACAAGCUGAAAUUAGUAGAGGAGAGUUUUGUAUCCAUCCCCAUGCUCAGGAUUCUGCUCUCGAUAUGUCCUGGAUAUGUCUCCAUCUCCAUUUGUGCGUCUGUCAAAGUUGACAAGCGAAAUGAAUU